rnacentral:lncRNA from 1 species
CUGCUCCAUUAUUGCUUUUUAUCUGCUCCAUUAUUGCUCUGUAUCUGCUCCAUUAUUGCUCUUUAUCUUAUCUUUCCAGCUGGCAUUUUGUCUUCUUUAUUCUAGAUGUACCUCUGGAAUAAUAUUAUCUUCUCCAUUGCACCUCGAACAUUGGUGGUCUGGAUAUUUAUGUCCGAUUAUCUUACAGUAUCUUGUUAGCAGUCCGUCUGAAAUAAAUCCUUUUCUUAUUGCUCGCGCGGUAGAUUGUUUUUCUGGGUUAAGUAGCGUCAGUAUCCAUUGUCUUACGUCUUCCAUAUCUGCUUGUC